CGGUAAUACGGAGGAUCCAAGCGUUAUCCGGAAUCAUUGGGUUAAAAGGGUCCGUAAGCGGUCAAGUAAGUCAGUGGUGAAAGCCCAUCGCUCAACGGUGGAACGGCCAUUGAUACUGCUUGACUUGAAUUAUUAGGAAGUAAUUAGAAUAUGUAGUGUAGCGGUGAAAUGUUUAGAGAUUACAUGAAAUACCAAUUGCGAAGGCAGGUUACUACUAAUUGAUUGACGCUGAUGGACGAAAGCGUGGGUAGCGAACAGGAUUAGAUACCCUGGUAGUCCACGCCGUAAACGAUGGAUACUAGCUGUUGGAAAUAAUUUCAGUGGCUAAGCGAAAGUGAUAAGUAUUCCACCUGGGGAGUACGUUCGCAAGAAUGAA
rnacentral:rRNA from 1 species